UGGCCUUGACAUCUGUCGAAUCCUGCAGAGAUGCGGGAGUGCCGCAAGGAACGACAAGACAGGUGCUGCAUGGCUGUCGUCAGCUCGUGUCGUGAGAUGUUGGGUUAAGUCCCGCAACGAGCGCAACCCUUGUCCCUAGUUGCCAGCACGUAAUGGUGGGAACUCUAGGGAGACUGCCGGUGACAAACCGGAGGAAGGUGGGGAUGACGUCAAGUCCUCAUGGCCCUUACGGCCAGGGCUACACACGUACUACAAUGGUCGGUACAGAGGGUUGCGAAGCCGCGAGGUGGAGCCAAUCCCAGAAAACCGAUCCCAGUCCGGAUCGGAGUCUGCAACUCGACUCCGUGAAGUCGGAAUCGCUAGUAAUCGCGAAUCAGCUAUGUCGCGGUGAAUACGUUCCCGGGCC
rnacentral:rRNA from 1 species